UACGGAGGAUCCAAGCGUUAUCCGGAUUCAUUGGGUUUAAAGGGUGCGUAGGCGGACUGAUAAGUCAGCGGUGAAAUCCCACGGCUCAACUGUGGAACUGCCGUUGAUACUGUUAGUCUUGAAUGCAGAUGAUGUGGGCGGAAUAUGACAUGUAGUGGUGAAAUACUUAGAUAUGCCAUAGAACACCGAUUGCGAAGGCAGCUCACAAAACUGUGAUUGACGCUGAGGCACGAAAGCGUGGGGAUCAAACAGG
rnacentral:rRNA from 1 species